CUAUAGCCCCGAUUGCAGUGGAAAUCCUUUUUUUGGACCUGACAGGUUUCUAAAACCUAUCAGGUCUAAAAAAAGAUUGUAACGGAAAGCGGGAAACUUG
rnacentral:sRNA from 1 species